rnacentral:rRNA from 1 species
UACGAAGGGUGCAAACGUUGCUCGGAAUUAUUGGGCGUAAAGCGCACGUAGGCGGCUUAGCAAGUCGGAAGUGAAAUCCCUCGGCUCAACCAAGGAAGUGCUUUCGAAACUGCUGAGCUUGAAUACUUAAGAGGAUCGCGGAAUUCCCGGUGUAGAGGUGAAAUUCGUAGAUAUCGGGAGGAACACCAGUGGCGAAGGCGGCGAUCUGGGAAGAUAUUGACGCUGAGGUGCGAAAGCGUGGGGAGCGAACAGG